rnacentral:tRNA from 1 species
GCCCCUGUAAUGUAAGCUGGAUAACAUAGAAGUUUGCGGAACUUCAAAUCCGGGUUCAAAUCCCGGCAGGGGCA